rnacentral:SRP_RNA from 1 species
GCCAGGCGUGUUGGCACGCGCCUGUAAUCCCAGCUACUGGGGAGGCUGAGGCAGGAGAAUUGCUGGAACCCGGGAGUCGGAGGUUGCAGUGAGCCAAGAUCGCCACUGCACUCCAGCCUGGGCAACAGAGCGAGACUCUGUCUCAA